CAGCAGCCGCGGGAAUACGAAGGGUGCAAGCGUUACUCGGAAUUACUGGGCGUAAAGCGUGCGUAGGUGGUUGUUUAAGUCUGUUGUGAAAGCCCUGGGCUCAACCUGGGAAUUGCAGUGGAUACUGGGCAACUAGAGUGUGGUAGAGGGUAGUGGAAUUCCCGGUGUAGCAGUGAAAUGCGUAGAGAUCGGGAGGAACAUCCAUGGCGAAGGCAGCUACCUGGACCAACACUGACACUGAGGCACGAAAGCGUGGGGAGCAAACAGGAUUAGAGACCCCCGUAGUCCCUGUCUCUUAUAC
rnacentral:rRNA from 1 species